GAUGAACGCUGGCGGCGUGCCUAAUACAUGCAAGUCGAACGCGCAGCGAAAGGUGCUUGCACCUUUCAAGUGAGUGGCGAACGGGUGAGUAACACGUGGAUAACCUACCUCAAGGUUGGGGAUAACAUUUGGAAACAGAUGCUAAUACCGAAUAAAACUUAGUAUCGCAUGAUACCAGGUUAAAAGGCGCUACGGCGUCACCUAGAGAUGGAUCCGCGGUGCAUUAGUUAGUUGGUGGGGUAAAGGCUUACCAAGACAAUGAUGCAUAGCCGAGUUGAGAGACUGAUCGGCCACAUUGGGACUGAGACACGGCCCAAACUCCUACGGGAGGCUGCAGUAGGGAAUCUUCCACAAUGGGCGAAAGCCUGAUGGAGCAACGCCGCGUGUGUGAUGAAGGCUUUCGGGUCGUAAAGCACUGUUGUAUGGGAAGAACAGCUAGAGUAGGGAAUGACUUUAGUUUGACGGUACCAUACCAGAAAGGGACGGCUAAAUACGUGCCAGCAGCCGCGGUAAUACGUAUGUCCCGAGCGUUAUCCGGAUUUAUUGGGCGUAAAGCGAGCGCAGACGGUUAAUUAAGUCUGAUGUGAAAGCCCGGAGCUCAACUCCGGAAAGGCAUUGGAAACUGGUUAACUUGAGUGCAGUAGAGGUAAGUGGAACUCCAUGUGUAGCGGUGGAAUGCGUAGAUAUAUGGAAAAACACCAGCGGCGAAGGCGGCUUACUGGACUGUAACUGACGUUGAGGCUCGAAAGUGUGGGUAGCAAACAGGAUUAGAUACCCUGGUAGUC
rnacentral:rRNA from 1 species